AGUCGAAACGGCCUUCGGGCCGUCGUUGUGGUGUGAGAGACCACGACCUGAUGAGACAUCUCACC
rnacentral:hammerhead_ribozyme from 1 species